rnacentral:lncRNA from 1 species
GCUCAAGUGCUAUAAUUAGUUGCCCAAACCGAGUUUAAUGGUGGGAAGAGCUUGAGGAUUGACCUCAUCAUAGAAGUCUACUGAGAGCUGCCCAACGACCGAAAGCAAGAAAUUUGGUAAGACAACAAAGCCUAUGAAAGCGUAGGUGGUAGCCAUGUAGAGACACACCUCCAACAACCCCAUAUUGAAUAUAUUACUACGAAGGG